GAUGAACGCUGGCGGCGUGCUUAACACAUGCAAGUCGAACGGUGUCCAGGGGGUGCUUGCACUUUUUGGUGAGAGUGGCGAACGGGUGAGUAACACGUGAGUAACCUGUCCUUUUCUUUGGGAUAAGCAUUCGAAAGGGUGUUUAAUACCUUAUGUUCUGUCUGCCUCGCAUGGUGUGGGUGGGAAAGGCUUUGGCCGGAUUUGGGUGGGCUCGCGGUCUAUCAGCUUGUUGGUGGGGUUAUGGCUUACCAAGGCUUUGACGGGUAGCCGGCCUGAGAGGGCGGGCGGGGACAUCCGGACUGAGAGACGGCCAAGACUCCUGCGGGCGGCAGCGGUAGGGGAUAUUGCACAAUGGGCGAAAGCCUGAUGCAGCGACGCCGCGUGGGGGAUGAAGGCCUUCGGGGUGUAAACUGCUUUUGCUCUGAACAAGGCAUGCCAGUGGGUGUGUUGAGGGUAGGGGUGGAUUAGCGCCGGCUAACUACGUG
rnacentral:rRNA from 1 species